rnacentral:rRNA from 1 species
AUUGAACGCUGGCGGCAUGCCUUACACAUGCAAGUCGAACGGUAACAGGUCUUCGGGUGCUGACGAGUGGCGAACGGGUGAGUAAUACAUCGGAACGUGCCUAGUAGUGGGGGAUAACUACUCGAACGAGUGGCUAAUACCGCAUGAGAUCUACGGAUGAAAGCAGGGGAUCGCAAGACCUUGUGACAAUAGAGCGGUCGAUGGCAGAUUAGGUAGUUGGUGGGAUAAAAGCUUACCAAGCCGACGAUCUGUAGCUGGUCUGAGAGGACGAUCAGCCACACUGGGACUGAGACACGGCCCAGACUCCUACGGGAGGCAGCAGUGGGGAAUUUUGGACAAUGGGCGAAAGCCUGAUCCAGCAAUGCCGCGUGCAGGAUGAAGGCCUUCGGGUUGUAAACUGCUUUUGUACGGAACGAAAAGCCCCGGGUUAAUACCCUGGGGUCAUGACGGUACCGUAAGAAUAAGCACCGGCUAACUACGUGCCAGCCGCCGCCGUAA